GAUGAACGCUGGCGGCGUGCCUAAUACAUGCAAGUCGAGCGAAGCGGGGACGGGUGAGUAACACGUGGCUAACCUCCUAUAAGACUGGGGUAAGUUCGGGAAACCUGAGCUAAACCCGACACUUAUAGAUGUAUCCUCGCUGCAUGAGCUAGUUGGUACGGUAAAGGCUUACCAAGGCAACGAUGCAUAGCCGACCUGAGAGGGUGAUCGGCCACACUGGAACUGAGACACGGUCCAGACUCCUACGGGAGGCAGCAGUGGGGAAUAUUCCGCAAUGGGCGAAAGCCUGACGCAGCAAUGCCGCGUGAGUGAUGAAGGUCUUCGGAUCGUAAAGCACUUUUAGUAGGGAGGCGGUACCUACAGAGUAAGCACCGGCUAACUACGUGCCAGCAGCCGCGGUAAUAC
rnacentral:rRNA from 1 species